rnacentral:rRNA from 1 species
AGAGUUUGAUCCUGGCUCAGGAUGAACGCUAGCGAUAGGCCUAACACAUGCAAGUCGAGGGGCAGCAUAGGGUAGCAAUACUUUGAUGGCGACCGGCGCACGGGUGAGUAACGCGUAUGCAACCUACCUAUAACAGGGGCAUAACCCGGAGAAAUUCGGACUAAUACCGCAUAAAACAGGGGCUCCGCAUGGAGAUAUUUGUUAAAGAUUUAUCGGUUAUAGAUGGGCAUGCGUUCCAUUAGCCAGUUGGUGAGGUAACGGCUCACCAAAGCAACGAUGGAUAGGGGAACUGAGAGGUUUGUCCCCCACACUGGAACUGAGACACGGACCAGACUCCUACGGGAGGCAGCAGUGAGGAAUAUUGGUCAAUGGGCGAGAGCCUGAACCAGCCAAAUCGCGUGAAGGAAGACUGCCUUAUGGGUUGUAAACUUCUUUUAUACAGGAAUAAAAAGAGUUACGUGUAACUUAUUGCAUGUACUGUAUGAAUAAGCAUCGGCUAACUCCGUGCCAGCAGCCGCGGUAAUACGGAGGAUGCGAGCGUUAUCCGGAUUUAUUGGGUUUAAAGGGUGCGCAGGCGGGAACUUAAGUCAGCGGUGAAAUCUCGACGCUUAACGUCGAAACUGCCGUUGAAACUGGGUUUCUUGAGUAUAGAUGAAGUAGGCGGAAUUCGUUGUGUAGCGGUGACAUGCUUAGAUAUAACGAGGAACUCCGAUUGCGUAGGCAGCUUACUAAGCUAUAACUGACGCUCAAGCACGAAAGCGUGGGGAUCAAACAGGAUUAGAUACCCUGGUAGUCCACGCCGUAAACGAUGAUUACUAGUUGUAUGCGAUAUACGGUAUGUGACUAAGCGAAAGCGAUAAGUAAUCCACCUGGGGAGUACGCCGGCAACGGUGAAACUCAAAGGAAUUGACGGAAGG